rnacentral:tRNA from 2 species
GAGUCGGUAGCUCAGUUGGUAGAGCAUCGCACUUUUAAUGCGGUGGUCCCGGGUUCGAGCCCCGGCCGACUCACCA